UUCCCUGGACAUCCACAGUUACAGUUAAUACAUCUUAAUCAUGCCUGAAUAAGGUUGUAAGACAUUGUAAAACAUUGUAAUAUUAAGAAGUACCUAUAAAUCUACAUAGAUAAAUCCAUUAAUAAUUUUUAAGGUGCAAUGGGGUACUUUUAGAAGGAUCUUUGGCAGUAAUGCAAUACAAUAUACAUAACUAUAUUAUCAGUAGUGUAUAAACCUUAAACCUAUGUAUGACCUUACAUAAUGAACUGUAUUGUUUUUAUUACUUUAGAAUGAGCCAUUUUUAUCUACAUACACCGCAGGUCCCCUUACAUGGAAGUCCCUGCCAUGUUUCUACAGUAGGCCUAAACGGACAAACUUUUCUUUGGAGCACGUUUCGUCCCUAUGUUGUCUCAGACGACAACAUGUGUUUGUCCUGUGGCAGCUACCAUAGCUUCUCUUUGCGUUUCGAAAUUAAGACAUGGAUUCCAAAACAGAAGCCUAUUCCACAUUCGGACUCACCUUUAACUCAGAACAGAUGGUGGCUUGGCAGUAGAGGCUAAAGUCUAGUAUUGCUCCAGCACUGACACCUAAACUAAGAAGUACGCUCAGAUCAUCUAUGAAUAAUACUGGAGGACCCCAUGUUUCACCAUCUUCACUCUGAUGGACAGAACUUUCCACAAAUUUGAAAAGACAUUCCAGUCCAGCACCUGGGGACCUAGAUAAACAAAAAAGGCUAUGGACUUACCAGCCUCUGACUGACAGCACUGUAGUGGCUAAAGGACUGCACGAGACCCAGAAAGCACACCUUACAACCAGCUAAACAAACAUGGCCUCCUCCUUAAUGAUGAUGGCGCCCUCUGGCAACAUGACCACUUCUUCUCCACCAACCACCUCCUCCUCCUCCUCCUCCUCUUCCUGAAGGACCACUUCCUCUUGGGGCUCUGUGCCAGUGCCAUUGGUCUGGCC